rnacentral:lncRNA from 1 species
ACAUAAUCAAAUUUUAUUUGACACAUAAAAUGUUUAAGUGAUGUGUUUUAUACUUUGAAAAUAAAUUCAUGCACCAAUGUUUUAACUCACAUAUAUCAUACAGUGCAGGAUUUAUGAACAUACAUAAAAUCAAAAUCAUACCAUAUAAACGUUUACAAAUAAGUUUUUCAUGACACACGGACACUAUUGCUCUUUAAAUAUGGUUGUACAUGUCAUCAUUAAUCGAUUCAUUGUUCUUCCACAUGGUUAUUUCAAUGCAAGAUCCGAUCAGCAUGAAGAGUCUAGUACAAGAUAGGGACUGCAUAGGGACUCUACUGCGGGCCCAACAACCUAUUAGUGGAUUGAUGUAAGGCAUUAGUAAAUUGGCAUAUAAAAAUAGCUUAAUGAGUGAUCUAAUCCAUUUAGAAUGCUGAAGCACUUCUGUGGUAAAUGUUAGUCUAUUCUACAAUUGAAAAUGCCUCAUUUUACCUUUUCUCUAAACUGACAAAUGCAAGUAGCCAGUAACUGUAGGUCUAGAAUUUUCGUUCACUGACCAGAAGGACUAAUAGGCGUCUAUGUGCUCAGAACCACCAGUCCCGCACCAACUCUCCUUUCAGUGAGCACUGUCAGCCACAUCCUGUAGUCACUGGUCAGCUACAUGGAAAGUGUGACUGAGGGGCUUACGGAUGGCUUCUGGUAAAGAUUGUCCAAGUCAUAUUCCGUCAUACAACCAACUCCAAGGAACUCUAACUCACUUUAUAAUUUUGAUUUACCAGCUAUUCCUUGGGUUUACAAUUUGUUCUGCAGAUAAUUUUUUUAUAAUCUGGACUUGACCUAUAUAGUUCGCCUGAAGCAAUCAAAUGAAGUCACCUCAACUCCACUCAGGGUGGUACACCAAGGUGCAGCCUUGGGUUACCCUCAUUUAUCUUAAGAUUUAACGAGAUAAGUCAGCUCAUUCUCAUAGACCUUCCUGAGCCUUUUUCCCCUUCCAUUUUGUAGUAGAAGUUUGUUUAACUUGAAUUCUAUUUUGGAUUUUGUGGGUUUGGCAUGAAACACAAUGAAAACCCAUAAUUCUACCCUGUCCCGAACUUCAAUUCCUUUGCUGCUCACCUUCCCAUAAGCAGGUAACCGAUGUCUUUCAUUUAGGAAGCCUUGGCGUGAACACAGGACAAGGGUGACACACUGAAUCUGCUAAGGGUCCUGCAGCCCUCCUCAGCUUUGAGGUUUUAGCACCAUAUGGAGAAAGGAGAAAUUGGUGGGAGGUGAGACAGCAGCCCACACAACUGGAAACUUUCAAAGGCACUUAAUGGAUAUAAAACUCUGCAAAUGAAACAUUUAAAAAUUAAGUUUCUCAACUCCUUUAUACAUGGCUCAUUUGGUUUUGAAAGCUAAACUGGAGAACAGAGGCUAGCGAUAUUUCUAGUACUUCGGUGCAUCUAACUUAGGCUGUCUUGUUCAACUUAUUUGUAAAAAUGAACAUUCUUGAAGUAUAUAGAAACAAUAGCAAAACAUCUUUGUAAAAGUUUUGAUGCAAAUUAAAAGCUACAUAUUGGUUAGGGUAACCGAGGCUUCAAAAUUCGUCAGCGGGCUACAUUAUCAGAUAGGAUUUCUUUGUCAAUGUAGUUAGUAUGUAUACUGUUUAGUCUCAGGAACAGAGGCAAGCAGUCUUUAACAUUUUAAAACUUGACCUUCCUUCGUGGCAUCACGGUUUUGGAGAGUCCAGAUUAUGGGAGCAGUUGUGUAACUUCUGCAGCGUUUUGAGCUUGUGCAUCCGGGGCAGCAUGGUAGGCAUUUCCCAACGGCUGGUGGCAAGGAGGCACCUCAGCAUGGCCUCUGCAGUUGCUGGCUGGUAGCAGCAGCAGCAAUAACAUAAGAGGCUUCUGGCAUUUUACAGACAUCGCCACACAAAUACACUGAAAAGGCAGAUCAAACAGUCAUUUUGCAUAGCUGGACAUCAUACUUGUGUCAAGUGGCAAAAAACAAUCUUGCCAAGUGCUCAAAAGUCAAGCUCGGGUGAUGUAUUGAACAUUUUGACUUCAAAAGGUAAACCAGGGAUCUUGCCACCAAAUUAAGAUCUAUUGCUUUUCUUAAAAGGUCUGUUUUUUUCAGUUGAGUUCUGUUUGGUUCUUUCAGCAGUUUGAAUGUCUGUGCUAAAUGUUGGUCCGUGAGGACUUCUGGCACUUUGAUAUCACACUCUCUCCUGUUACUAUUGAAAAGGUUUAUCACCUCCACUUGAGUCAGAGAGCCCUUUUGAGUGUUUAGCACAGAACCAGGGAUCACAGCAUGCUCCCAUGCCUACAAAGGCCUGCAAGCCCUGCACGGUUAAGGCCACUUCUUUUUUAUAUUAAAACAAGUCUGUAUCCCCUGCAUUGGGGUGACCAAUU